AGCAGGAUAGCACAGCGGUUAGGAGCGUGGCCUCUGGAGCCAAACACACUUGGGUUCGAGCCCCAGCCCUGCUC
rnacentral:tRNA from 1 species